GAUGAACGCUGGCGGCGUGCCUAAUACAUGCAAGUCGAGCGAACAGACGAGGAGCUUGCUCCUUUGACGUUAGCGGCGGACGGGUGAGUAACACGUGGGUAACCUACCUAUAAGACUGGGAUAACUUCGGGAAACCGGAGCUAAUACCGGAUAAUAUUUCGAGCCGCAUGGUUCGAUAGUGAAAGAUGGCUUUGCUAUCACUUAUAGAUGGACCUGCGCCGUAUUAGCUAGUUGGUAAGGUAACGGCUUACCAAGGCAACGAUACGUAGCCGACCUGAGAGGGUGAUCGGCCACACUGGAACUGAGACACGGUCCAGACUCCUACGGGAGGCAGCAGUAGGGAAUCUUCCGCAAUGGGCGAAAGCCUGACGGAGCAACGCCGCGUGAGUGAUGAAGGUCUUCGGAUCGUAAAACUCUGUUAUUAGGGAAGAACAAACGUGUAAGUAACUGUGCACGUCUUGACGGUACCUAAUCAGAAAGCCACGGCUAACUACGUG
rnacentral:rRNA from 1 species